GAGCUUCGUAGGAUUUAAGAAUCAAUGAAUUGUAAUAAAUAAAUUAAUCAAAUAAAUUUCAAAUUUCAAACGAAUAAAAAGAACUAAAAGUACGAAAUGGUGAAUGUUUGCCUAGCGCUAACAGAGAGGGCUAGGGAAAUUUUUUUGGGUUCAAAUUAAAAAGCGUCUCCAAAAAUUAAGGUUUGGAAAAAACAAUUUUGGAAAAUCAUAACAGAAGUGGAAGAAAUAGUACGUUUAGUGCCGCAAUUGGUACUAUUUUGUAAAUUGAGGUAGAGCUUUGAAUUUUGAAACUUAGGGCGGAUGGAUAGAGCCAUGAAAUUUGACUUUAAAGACAUCUGCUGCAAAAUAAUGAGAGAGAGAUAAUAAAAAAUGGAAAAAAGUAAUGGUAACGGCAAAAAAACAUACCUUUAGUACAGCAAUUGGUACUUUCUUUAAAGAUGGAGCUAGAGAUCUAAAGUUUGGCAUUGCACAAAACAGGUUAAAGCGGGAAAAUGGAAAUUUUUCAAAUUCUAAGGACAUUUUACAACAAAAAUAUGAUAGAACAUUGUGUGGAAAACGAUGCUGUAUUGGUGUAUUCAUAUGAAACCCACUUCUGGGAAUCAAUGGCUAUGAAAUCAAUUUGCUGAAUACAAAGAAUUGAGGUUGGUCAUGGUGUA